UCUCGAUUGGUCUAGUGGUCAGGAUACCUGCUUGUCAAUCUGUGAUCUACAAUGUAGAUUUCGGAAAUGAACAAGUCGCAGGUGGCCGGGGUUCGAUUCCCCGAUCGAGAG